CAGCUCUUGACAUGGACAGGACCGACGCAGAGAUGCGUUUUCCCCGCAAGGGGCCUGUUGCACAGGUGCUGCAUGGCUGUCGUCAGCUCGUGUCGUGAGAUGUUGGGUUAAGUCCCGCAACGAGCGCAACCCUCGCCUCUAGUUGCCAGCACGUCUGGGUGGGCACUCUAGAGGAACUGCCGGUGACAAGCCGGAGGAAGGUGGGGAUGACGUCAAGUCCUCAUGGCCCUUAUGGGCUGGGCUACACACGUGCUACAAUGGCGGUGACAGAGGGAAGCCAGGUCGCGAGGCCGAGCCGAUCCCUAAAAGCCGUCUCAGUUCAGAUCGUACCCUGCAACUCGGGUACGUGAAGGUGGAAUCGCUAGUAAUCGCGGAUCAGCACGCCGCGGUGAAACG
rnacentral:rRNA from 1 species